rnacentral:rRNA from 1 species
CACGUAGGAGGCGAGCGUUGUCCGGAAUCAUUGGGCGUAAAGAGCGCGCAGGCGGCUUGGCAAGUCGGGUGUGAAAUCCCGGGGCUCAACCCCGUGACUGCAUUCGAUACUGUCAGGCUAGAGGUAGGUAGGGGAGAUCGGAAUUCCUGGUGUAGCGGUGAAAUGCGCAGAUAUCAGGAUGAACACCGGUGGCGAAGGCGGAUCUCUGGGCCUUACCUGACGCUCAGGCGCGAAAGCUAGGGGAGCGAACAGG